rnacentral:ncRNA from 1 species
GAAAUCAGCGGAUGAAGUUUGUGGGUUAGGGGUGAAAUGCCACUCGAACCCAGAGCUAGCUGGGUCUCCCCGAAAUGCGUUGAGGCGCAGCAGUUGACUGGACAUCUAGGGGUAAAGCACUGUUUCGGUGCGGGCUGCGCGAGCGGUACCAAAUCGAGGCAAACUCUGAAUACUAGAUAUGACCCAAAAAUAACAGGGGUCAAGGUCGGCCAGUGAGACGA